GCCCUUGUAGCUCAAUGGAUAGAGCACCUCACUCCUAACGAGGAAAUGUAGGUUCGAUUCCUACUAAGGGCG
rnacentral:tRNA from 1 species